UACGAAGGGGGCGAGCGUUGUUCGGAUUUACUGGGCGUAAAGGGCGCGCAGGCGGCUCAUUUUGUCAGGCGUGAAAGCCCCGGGCUUAACCUGGGAACUGCGUUUGAUACGGAUGGGCUAGAGUUCGGGAGAGGAGAGUGGAAUUCCCAGUGUAGAGGUGAAAUGCGCAGAUAUCAGGAGGAACACCAAUGGCGAAGGCAGCACUCUGGGACGUGACUGACGCUGAGACGCGAAAGCGUGGGGAGCAAACAGG
rnacentral:rRNA from 1 species